rnacentral:rRNA from 1 species
GAUGAACGCUGGCGGCGUGCCUAAUACAUGCAAGUCGAGCGAACAGAUAAGGAGCUUGCUCCUUUGACGUUAGCGGCGGACAGGUGAGUAACACGUGGGUAACCUACCUAUAAGACUGGGAUAACUUCGGGAAACCGGAGCUAAUACCGGAUAACAUUUGGAACCGCAUGGUUCUAAAGUGAAAGAUGGUUUUGCUAUCACUUAUAGAUGGACCCGCGCCGUAUUAGCUAGUUGGUAAGGUAACGGCUUACCAAGGCAACGACACGUAGCCGACCUGAGAGGGUGAUCGGCCACACUGGAACUGAGACACGGUCCAGACUCCUACGGGAGGCAGCAGUAGGGAAUCUUCCGCAAUGGGCGAAAGCCUGACGGAGCAACGCCGCGUGAGUGAUGAAGGGUUUCGGCUCGUAAAACUCUGUUAUUAGGGAAGAACAAAUGUGUAAGUAACUGUGCACGUCUUGACGGUACCUAAUCAGAAAGCCACGGCUAACUACGUG